GGGGUUGUGGCUCAGUGGUAGAGCACCUGCCUCGCAGGGUGAGGCACUGGGUUCGAUCCUCAGCUCCA
rnacentral:tRNA from 1 species